rnacentral:rRNA from 1 species
AAGCUACUCCGGGGAUAACAGGCUAGUUCCGCCCGAGCGUCCAUAGCGACGGCGGAGUUCGGCACCUCGAUGUCGGCUCAUCUCAUCCUGGGGGUGAAGAAGCUCCCAAGGGUUUGGCUGUUCGCCAAUUAAAGAGGUACGUGAGCUGGGUUCAAACCGUUGAGAACAUGAAAAAAUAGUUCGUGUUUUGAACGGUUUGAACCCGAGGAAAAGACAUUUUGCACGGCGGCCAUGUAAAGUAAUUUAUAUGGACCAUGCUGACUAAUAUCGGUGGAACCCCGCAGAGUGGGGCAAUACCGAGGGAAAAUUGUGUGCUUCAUUGAGGAAAUAGUUCUUCAAAAUUUUGUAGGGCAGUAGCUCUAAUAUGGUAAGGAGCGGUUGCGGUCGUACUCUACGAGCGACAAGCAUGGGUUCAAAUCCCAUCUGCCCUGCCAAAUCGAGGCGAUUUGAAAAAUAAUCGCCUCCUCAAUGAAGUACAUGAUUGCCCGUAGAGACUAUACGUCAGCCUCCUCCGACGCAAGGUCGGAGGGUGAAGAUAUAGUCCGACACUCUUAGUAAUAAGAGAUUACAGAUAGCGUGAGACAGGUUGGUCUCCUAUCUACUGCAUCCGUUGAUUAUUGAGGGGGCUUCUCUCUAGUACGAGAGGACCGAGAGGAGGCGACCUCUGGUCUACCAGCUGUCCUGCCAAGGGCAUCGCUGGGUAGCUAUGUCGCUGAGUGAUAAGCGCUGAAAGCAUCUAAGCGCGAAGCACGCCCCAAGAUUAGUAAUCGUUUAGACUCGUGGGAGAUUACCACGUUGAUAGGCUCUAGGUGUAAGUCCUGUAAAGGAUUUAGCCGAGGAGUACUAAUAAGUCGAAAUC